rnacentral:rRNA from 1 species
AACGGCCAUAUCUUGCUGAAUAUACCGGUUCUCGUUCGAUCACCGAAACAUCAUCGUGCGCGGUCAGUACUUGGGAGGGUGACCACCUGGGAACACCGGGUGCCGUAG